AACGAACGCUGGCGGCAUGCCUAACACAUGCAAGUCGAACGAGACCUUCGGGUCUAGUGGCGCACGGGUGCGUAACACGUGGGAAUUUGCCUCGGGGUAUGGAAUAACUCAGGGAAACUUGAGCUAAUACCAUAUAAUGUCUUCGGACCAAAGAUUUAUCGCCCUGAGAUAAGCCCGCGUAGGAUUAGCUAGUUGGUGGGUAAAGGCUCACCAAGGCGACGAUCCUUAGCUGGUCUGAGAGGAUGAUCAGCCACACUGGGACUGAGACACGGCCCAGACUCCUACGGAGGCAGCAGUGGGAAUAUUGGACAAUGGGGGGCAACCCCUGAUCCAGCAAUGCCGCGUGAGUGAAGAAGGCCUGGUGUAAG
rnacentral:rRNA from 1 species